AUCCCUGGUAAUUAAACUGCUUACAUACAUUGACUAGGUAUACUCUGCAAGUCUACUCAGCUUUUGUUAUGAUGAGAUUCCACUUACGGUCCGUGUUUCUGAAACACAUGAUUUUGUGGAAGUUCUGAUUUAUGGCUGAAAGAGUUGCACCAUUGAUGGUUGAAACUUCGUAAUUAAUAAGUUCUCAGGAAUUACUCUGCUUAAUGUAAGCAAGCUGAACAUUUUGAAGCUUGCUCCUGGUGGGCAUGUGGGACGUUUCUGCAUUUGGACUGAAAGUGCUUUCCGGAAGUUAGAUGAAUUGUAUGGCACUUGGCGUAAAGCUGCUUCUCUCAAGAGUAACUACAAUCUUCCCAUGCACAAGAUGAUUAAUACAGAUCUUAGCAGAAUCUUGAAAAGCCCAGAGAUCCAAAGAGCCCUUCGAGCACCACGCAAGAAGAUUCAUCGCAGAGUCCUAAAGAAGAACCCACUGAAAAAC
rnacentral:sRNA from 1 species